ensembl:snRNA U6 U6 spliceosomal RNA
GUGCUCGCUUCAGCAGCACAUAUACUAAAAUUGGAAAGAUACAGAGAAGAUUAGCAUGGCCCCUGCUCAAAUGUUCUUUUUAAAAAGCAGCUUUCCUAGCCAUG